GCCCAGAGCCUGAAUCAGCAUGUGUGUUAGUGGAAGCGUCUGGAAAGGCGCGCGAUACAGGGUGACAGCCCCGUACACAAAAGCGCAUGUGCUGUGAGCUCGAUGAGUAGGGCGGGACACGUGGUAUCCUGUCUGAAUAUGGGGGGACCAUCCUCCAAGGCUAAAUACUCCUGACUGACCGAUAGUGAACCAGUACCGUGAGGGAAAGGCGAAAAGAACCCCGGCGAGGGGAGUGAAAAAGAACCUGAAACCGUGUACGUACAAGCAGUGGGAGCACAGGUUUACCUGUGUGACUGCGUACCUUUUGUAUAAUGGGUCAGCGACUUAUAUUCUGUAGCAAGGUUAACCGAAUAGGGGAGCCGGAGGGAAACCGAGUCUUAAUUGGGCGUUAAGUUGCAGGGUAUAGACCCGAAACCCGGUGAUCUAGCCAUGGGCAGGUUGAAGGUUGGGUAACACUAACUGGAGGACCGAACCGACUAAUGUUGAAAAAUUAGCGGAUGACCUGUGGCUGGGGGUGAAAGGCCAAUCAAACCGGGAGAUAGCUGGUUCUCCCCGAAAGCUAUUUAGGUAGCGCCUCGUGAAUUCAUCUCCGGGGGUAGAGCACUGUUUCGGCUAGGGGGCCAUCCCGGCUUACCAACCCGAUGCAAACUGCGAAUACCGGAGAAUGUUAUCACGGGAGACACACGGCGGGUGCUAACGUCCGUCGUGAAGAGGGAAACAACCCAGACCGCCAGCUAAGGUCCCAAAGUCAUGGUUAAGUGGGAAACGAUGUGGGAAGGCCCAGACAGCCAGGAUGUUGGCUUAGAAGCAGCCAUCAUUUAAAGAAAGCGUAAUAGCUCACUGGUCGAGUCGGCCUGCGCGGAAGAUGUAACGGGGCUAAACCAUGCACCGAAGCUGCGGCAGCGACGCUUAUGCGUUGUUGGGUAGGGGAGCGUUCUGUAAGCCUGUGAAGGUGGCCUGUGAGGGUUGCUGGAGGUAUCAGAAGUGCGAAUGCUGACAUAAGUAACGAUAAAGCGGGUGAAAAGCCCGCUCGCCGGAAGACCAAGGGUUCCUGUCCAACGUUAAUCGGGGCAGGGUGAGUCGACCCCUAAGGCGAGGCCGAAAGGCGUAGUCGAUGGGAAACGGGUUAAUAUUCCCGUACUUGGUGUUACUGCGAAGGGGGGACGGAGAAGGCUAUGUUGGCCGGGCGACGGUUGUCCCGGUUUAAGCGUGUAGGUGUGUGUUCCAGGUAAAUCCGGUUCACUUUAACACUGAGGCGUGAUGACGAGGCACUACGGUGCUGAAGUAACAAAUGCCCUGCUUCCAGGAAAAGCCUCUAAGCAUCAGGUAACAUCAAAUCGUACCCCAAACCGACACAGGUGGUCAGGUAGAGAAUACCAAGGCGCUUGAGAGAACUCGGGUGAAGGAACUAGGCAAAAUGGUGCCGUAACUUCGGGAGAAGGCACGCUGACAC
rnacentral:rRNA from 1 species